rnacentral:misc_RNA from 1 species
GGGGACUAAACAUAGUAACAAGACAAUCCAAACAAAUGCUCCAAAUAUGGAGCUCUUUUAAUCCCUAAAGUAUAUAGAAAAUUUAUCAACGUUAUUUACUCAAAUACGUUCAAUCAAAUUAUGCUUUCAUAUCGUGAGAUCCUAAUAAAAGACUAGAGAGGCCAAGAACAAGAGCAGAGAUGUAAAUCCAGUAGAUGCAAAUUUUUG